rnacentral:misc_RNA from 1 species
CUUAGAGGAAGUAAAAGUCGUAACAAGGUUUCCGUAGGUGAACCUGCGGAAGGAUCAUUAUUACGUAUCCACGUAUCAACCCAAUCGUGAACUGUUUCCCGUCUGAUGAGGAUUUCUGCGACCAAAUACUACAAAUGCAUGAUGGACUGAAGGGUUGAAAAUGGCUUUCGGGCUGCUUUCUUCUUCAGCUUCAUUUGGUCGGUUCCUAGUCUUCUGGGAGUUUUCGGACUUCAAGCUGGCUAGCUCAACAGAUGUGGUUUUAUCUCCUCCUUCAUGCUCUCAAUUAACCCCUUGUACAAACAAAUUGAACUGAAUAAUCGCUACCUGAUAAAAAGGGUGGUGAACAACUGAAAUUAAGAAACAACUCUUAACAACGGAUAUCUUGGUUCUC